GUUGGUACCUACAGGUGAAGUUGUAUUAGGGCAAGGGGGCACCCAAAAAAAAAAAAAUUAACUAACAGCAUAUCUCGAUCAGAUACUUUGCACUCAAAAACAUGGCAUAUAUAGUGAAGUUUUACUUAUGUAUAAUGAAGUAUUAAAUUAGUGGCAGCAAUCUUUCAAGUAUUAAAAUGGGGUUUUUGUCUAUAGACAAGUUAUUUUCAUCCAUCAUCAUGCCUGGGUGAUGUCUGAAAGCUCCUGGUUUGAACUAAAAUAAGACUCACUACAUCACCCAAAAGCUAAGAUGAUCACAAGGUUUGAUCUCAAAAUAAAGUUGAAGCAUUUAUAGAUCACAACUAAAAUUGCAUAAAAGAAGAGAAGCUACCUGAGAGAAGGGUCAUGCUGAUACUCAGGGUCCAAGGAUUCCUCAGAACUUGUCUUGGGAAAUGAAAAUUCCACCAUAGUGAGACUGUUAGAUAAUGCUAUCCCUUCAGCAUACAUGAUAUCCAUGUCGGUGGGUUCAUAGUCUACCUUGGAAAUCUCAACAGCCUGCAUCCAGAGAUUUAUUUAGACAUUGAUGAUAAGCUAGCCUUCUUUUCUAAAGUGAUGUUAUGAACCUCAUACAUUCAUAUCCAAAUAAUUUAAACCACCAAAAAAAAAAAAAACUAUCACAACUUGUUGCAAAAUUAAGAUCAUUCAUUUAAGAACUAUAAAUUAAACUUAUAGUCUUCCCUCUAUCUGGUUUCACAUCGUCUCAAUACCAACUUAUACUUAAUUGAUUCAAAUAGCCUCAUGUCUUACUGAUAAUCCAGAAGUCCAAAAUAUAAACUACACUGAUGCAGUGAUGAACUCUUAUUUCAACACUAGCUCUGUUGAUCUCUCUUUUUCAUUUGAUCUUCUCAUUUGUGUCAAAUCAAUCACCCAAACUCUCACUGAAAAGAAAAAAGAGGCAGCAAUAUAGAAAUUUUAACAUGUUCAAAAUUCAAACUAUCUGCAUUAAUAUCAACUCUUGGAAUUGUAACAUCCUGAAAUUUAGACUUGAGUGCUUGUAGGUGUAGGCAAGAAGUUUUGAUUAGUAUGCUAUUUUCCAAAUUGGAUAGGAACUCAAAGGCGAUGUACUCAAGGUAAGAGAGAGAAAAUAAAGAAAUCCUUAUAGUUAAGGAAUUUUUAGGAAAUUUACCCCAUGUCCACUUAUUAUAUAUAAUUUAUUGGAUUAUAAAUUACAGUGAGUGUGGACACAAGUUAUGAUCCAUAAAAGUUUAAAGAUGCCUAGAAUAUACAGAAAAAUUUAGGAAAAGAAAGUCAAAGCAAGCAAGGAUUAAAUUAUAAAGAUUCUUGGUUUAAACUAAAUGACAUCCUAAAUUAUCGAGUGAAUUAGGGAGAACCUUAAUCAUAAUAAAUUAGUCCAAAUUAUAUUCUUAUGGCAUCAAAAUAAUAUUUUAAGAAGGAAAGUGAAAAAUUAAAGGUGUUAAUCUUUAUUUAAAUGUAAUUAGGUUAUUUCAUGGUAAUUGGAAUUUGCCAUGCAUUUAUAUGAGAAAAAAAGAAUUAACACAAGAUGAGAUAAGAUUAAAGAGACCAUGUUUACUUAUGAUUCAAGGGAGAAAUUAAAGAUAUUAAGAUAAGAAUUAGUGAGAAAUUGGGAAUCAAAUUAUGAAUUAAACUAGUGGUGAGAAUGUGUGCGUGUGCGUGUGCGUGUGUAUCUUGCAAUCACACAUGUGAAUUAGUAAAGCAAUGUAUUAUUGGUAGCCAACAAGGUUUACAAUGGCUCAAGGAAUGUUAUGCGGCAUGUAAUCAAGGAAAAAGGAGGGAGAAGAUACAAAUGAAAGGAGAAGAAUGCGUGUGUGUGUGUGAACCAAAAUGUAUGGAAAGAGUAAGUGGUAAGCACCUCAAUUCUCUCUCCCACUAACUUAUCAUCUUGGCUAUGCGACUUGAUUUAGCCAAAAUGGAUUAUGUCAUGAUAUGGGAAUUGAAGUGAAUGUUCAAUCUAUUACGUGGCUCUAAAACAAAUUUUCAAGGCUUGGAAUUUAUUGUGCGUCAACAUUUAAGAUUUACCCUAAUGGAUUGGGUGGCAAAUUGAUAUUUCUUCACUGAUCAAAUUUUAUCUUCUAAAUACACACACAGCGGUUUUAUAAUCAAUUGAGUAUAUGUGUGUGUGGGGCAUCACUUUAGAUUAGAAAAGGUUUAUGUGGCAUCACUUUAGAUUAGCAGAGAUUUAUGUGGCAAUAGAUGAGACUGCUAAAGAAGAAAUUAUAUUAGGUGGCGAGAAUCUAGAAUUACUAUGAAGAAAGAUAAAAUAGGUGGCAGCAUUUGAGAAUUUUUUUAAACUAAAAAUUAUAAUCAGUUUAAUCUAUAAAUUAAAAUACCGAACCACUCCCUUUUUCAAUGUGUGUGUGUGUGUGUGUGUGGGCGCAUCAGCUUUACAUGUCUUUGCUCGUUCAUUUUUCCUCUGCCAAUCAGAAACUUAAAGAAAGUGAAGAAGAGGUAUAGAAACAAAAGGAAAACAAGAGGCUGCUCUUGAGAGUGUAAAGAUGCAGGAGUAAGGGUGACAAUAAGCUAGGAUGAAGGAAAAGAUUAUCUCAUGCUAGGAAACAAGGUUCCAGUUUUGUAUCAAAGAGAGCAAGAAAGUUUUGAAGAGAAGAAAAAGCAAGAAGUCAAGUUUAAAUCAUAUAUCGUGUUUGGUAUCAUGAUUUACAAAAUAUAUGUAAAAUCAAGUGACUUUAGAAGAUUUGUAGUCUGUCCUGUUUCUUUGAAUUGUAUGUCCUGAAAAGAUGUUUAUAUGAGUUAUGUAUAUAAACUAGUUAGAAUGGGAGUUUAAGGAAAAUAACUAGUAAGUGCUAUGUUGGAAA